AUUGAACGCUGGCGGCAGGCUUAACACAUGCAAGUCGAGCGGGGAAAGGUAGCUUGCUACCUGACCUAGCGGCGGACGGGUGAGUAAUGCUUAGGAAUCUGCCUAUUAGUGGGGGACAACAUCUCGAAAGGGAUGCUAAUACCGCAUACGUCCUACGGGAGAAAGCAGGGGACCUUCGGGCCUUGCGCUAAUAGAUGAGCCUAAGUCGGAUUAGCUAGUUGGUGGGGUAAAGGCCUACCAAGGCGACGAUCUGUAGCGGGUCUGAGAGGAUGAUCCGCCACACUGGGACUGAGACACGGCCCAGGCUCCUACGGGAGGCAGCAGUGGGGAAUAUUGGACAAUGGGGGGAACCCUGAUCCAGCCAUGCCGCGUGUGUGAAGAAGGCCUUUUGGUUGUAAAGCACUUUAAGCGAGGAGGAGGCUACCGAGAUUAAUACUCUUGGAUAGUGGACGUUACUCGCAGAAUAAGCACCGGCUAACUCUGUG
rnacentral:rRNA from 1 species